rnacentral:rRNA from 1 species
AGUGAACGCUGGCGGUAGGCCUAACACAUGCAAGUCGAACGGCAGCACAGUAAGAGCUUGCUCUUACGGGUGGCGAGUGGCGGACGGGUGAUGAAUACAUCGGAAUCUACUUUUUCGUGGGGGAUAACGUAGGGAAACUUACGCUAAUACCGCAUACGUCCUACGGGUGGAAUCAGGGGAUCUUCGGACCUUGCGUGAUUGAAUGAGCCGAUGUCGGAUUAGCUAGUUGGCGGGGUAAAGGCCCACCAAGGCGACGAUCCGUAGCUGGUCUGAGAGGAUGAUCAGCCACGAUGGAACUGAGACACGGUCCAGACUCCUAAGGGAGGCAGCAGUGGGGAAUAUUGGACAAUGGGCGAAAGCCUGAUCCAGCCAUACCGCGUGAGUGAAGAAGGCCUUCGGGUUGUAAAGCGCUUUUGUUGGGAAAGAAAAGCAGCAGGUUAACACCCCGCUGUUCUGACGGUACCCAAAGAAUAAGCACCGGCUAACUUCGUG